CUCAUUUGAUAUCAAGGGGGGAGACGAGUACUGACUCACGGCUCCAUCUCUCGAUACAGAUGGUUAAACAAAAGAAAGAAAGAAAGAAAGAAGGAAAGAAAGAAAGAAGACAGCCAUCUGGGACAUUUUUAUCAACUCUAUUGCUCCUCCAUCGAUCUCUACCAGUCUCUUGCCUCAACGGCAUCCCCGCUAUCCUUCAUUUUCUUCAACUUCUCCGCUUAUCUUCACCAUCUUAUUAAUCUCCUUUAUCACUGUUUGCCAUUGCACUCACCUGCAUUAAAAACUUGCUUGGAAUCCGAUUUCAUAAUUAUAUCACUUGCUGCAAUUCAUGUCGCUGCGUCGUUGUGCGGCCGAUGAGGUUUUGAGAAAAUGCUCAGAGAUGUCUCUGUUCCGCCAUUGUUGUUGCUGUAUAAUUCUCCUGUAAAUAUGCAGUGCGGGAUUGAUGGCUUUCUGUAUUCGUUGUCACGAGUUCAAAGGUACGGCUCUACUUCCCUUAAAUUCCCCCCCAUAUUACUCUAUGCUCGUUUGAUUAAUAUGAGUAAACUAUAUGCGAUUUUCCUGGUAUUUUUGCUUUGUAAAACCUGUUUGAUGGUAAUUGCGCUUAUGUGUUAAGGUUUUUGUGGUGAUCGCUACAGCGUAUUUAUGUUGUAUGAAUAACUUUUUUUUUUAAACCUUGUGUGCAUGUUGUUUCAGUGUUUCAUGCUUGUUUAUGUGCUAUUCUCGAUCGCUCUAUUAGGUUCAAGGGCAUGUAUCAUUUUUGUAAUUUUAGUUAAUGAGAAUCCGAUUUGUUAAAACUAAGUAGGAAUAUUUAAGUUGAUUUUAAGAAAUGACUUUAUAAAGCUAGUUUAUAUGUUUCUAUGUAUCUACUUUUGUUUUCACUAGUUGAUGGUGCUCUCUGUAUAGCUCAUUUAAAACCAAAAAAAAUCUUUAAAAAGUUCAUUAGGAUAUAUCUAAAUGUCAUCUCUUUGCUUCUUUUAUUUGAGACUAGAUAAAUAUGGUAAGUUUGUUUCUAUUUUCAAAUCUCUAUUCAGCAACACGUCUAGAAACAAUAUUUAGCAUCAAUCUGAUUAGUCGUUCUAGUUCAACCUCUGCAUGUAUUUACUUUUGUGCUAAAUGUGUGUGAGCCCUCUCUAAGUUAAUCAAUAAUUUGUGAGGGGCUAAGGACUUUGAGGUCAAGUCCUCAAACCAGUAUACAACUGUAUUGUUUUUUAAAGUGACUAGGACGGUCUUUCUUUUUAAAAAAAUUUUAUUAUUAAAUUGAUCUUCUUCACUGUAAAAAUAUUUGCUUAUUAUGUGAACUCGUUGUGACACUUGUAAGUCCAGUCGUUUAAUUCUACUUGCUUGAUACUCGUUUCCGAACUAUAAUAACUGUCACAAUGUCAUGCCUAUAAGGUGGCGCAUAUUUUUUCACUAACGUAUUUUUAUGUUGGGGGGAGUCGCAAAUACCUAGUAAGAUGCUUAUUUUAAAGCGCUUGGAUUGAGGUCAGUCAUUUAUUUUUGCUCGUUCUUGCACUCUCAAUAUUUUAUUAUGAACUUAUUUGAUAUUUGUCCGCAUGUUUAUUCUAUUCUUUUUUACUAUUCAAUUUAUCUCUACGUGAUCUUUAGUUUAAAACUUAGAAUUGGCAUCUAGUUGGCAGUUAAAUACUUAUUGUAUGAUUGUAUCACCUAUGGCCUUAUUACAUAUAGUAAAGACCGUAAUGUGAAAAACAUAGGUUUUGCAUCUAGUUUAAUUUAAUUCUCUUUGGGGAAAAAUAAGAUUUGACAUCUAGCUUGCAAGCCUCGAAAAUUAGAAACUUGGUUUAUUUAAUUCUUUAUUUAUGAUUAAUAAUUAAUAAACUCAAUAAUUCCCACAUAGUUUAAAAUUCGGUCGGGAACCACAGUUGUGGACCACAUAGUAAUUUGAGCUCUUACCCGAUUUUUGAUGACGUAGACUAGUUAAAUCAGAGUCAUUUGCAAAUAGGUGCCCUAACACACCUUAAAAAUCGUAAGGUGGCUCUUUUAAUACCAUUUAAAAAGAGUUGUCACGCGUCGAAUUAGUUAGUUUCUUUACUUCCACAUCAACUGCUUAAUGCUCCUAAUUAUCUUGUCCCUUGCUUUAUUGUUUUGUACUUCAAAUUAAGUUCUGAAACUGAAUCUUAAACCGAUGUGUUUACACAAAAUUAUAUUAGUUCACCAUAAUUAAGUGAUAUAUUGUAAGUGAUAAAAGUGCAUAUAAAAGACACGUGUCAUGUGUUUGUUAGUUUUGUCCACACACCAUAUGUAACUAAGUUUUUAUAUGUACACCAGAUCAUAUUAGUUAAUCAUGAUUAAGUGAUAUAUGAAUUGUACAACUUUAAGUGUAGUUACGAUUUUGUACUUACAAUAUGUAUUUUAUAAUUUGUAGUACUUAUAUACAUUACAGAGGUACACUACAACUGAAACAAGUCUAUUGAUUUACUCACAAAAUCUUCAACUAAUCAAUUUGUAGUACCAAUGAGUGAAGUAGAAUGUGUGUAGUACACUAUAUAAUUUGUACUUUAUUAUUGACAAAGACAUUACAUAUUAUACAAAGUUAUUGUCCUAGAAGUACCAGUACAAUUGUAGUACUGUGUUGUACAAUUCCACACCUUUAAAAUCUCCCCCUUAUGUGUCUUCAAAAUCAACAUAAUUUGCCACAAAAGUUCUAAGUGUUUUAUAUAAAUAGGUGGAAAUGUUCAACAGGGGCAACGUGAGAUCAUAUGUACCACAUUUUUUGUUUUUGAUAAUUUUAGUAAUUGUAAUACAUAUGUUCUCAGGUCGGCCCUGUAGAACUAUUUUCCAUCGUACUAUUUGAUAAGAUUCUUGAUCGAGAUUGUUGGUGUCGGCAAUGCUGGAUUUAAAGGAUUGAUCAAGGUUAACCAUUACUAAUAUUUAUUAUACAAAAUUACUUGCAAUUAGAUUUUAAAUUAUGUAAUAGUGUGAAAUUCUAUAUAUCUUACAUUAUCCUAAAAAUAGUUUCUUAUUUAUUAUUCCAAAAAAGUUAGAAGAUUUCAAAUGCCCAGAAUUUACUUUACAAAAACUCUCUGUAGUAGCGAGUAGCGACAGGUAAAAGAUGCGCUUUAAGGCGUAUAAAACGUAUUUACUCAAAUUAGAAGUCGCAUUUAUCAAUUGCGAUUUAUACUUCCCACUCCAAAAGUUAACAUUUUCGACUCUAUAAACCAACUAGAUGAUGUACCCGUGCAUGCCCGUGCCCAAUUGUUACUUUUUCUUCUUGUUGUUUCUUCCUUUUAAUAUUUCUUGGUAUGUUGCUAAUUACACACUUUCUACGCCUUUAGGGAAAGAAGAAAGAGAAUAGGCUUUUGUGUAAUAAUGUGUAGAACCACGAUUACCUUAUUGUUAUUUAUCUUUUGCAUUAUGUGCAUUUUAAUUUUUCUGAAAUCGUAUUACGAUACCAAUCACUUUGUAAUACUUGUCGAAGUUUGAUACUUUAUCAUACAAUAAUUAGAUAAUAAUUCAAGUACAA